ACGGGUGAGUAACGCGUAGGUGACCCACCCGUCAGAGGGGGAUAACUGGGGGAAACCUCAGCUAAUACCCCAUACGUUCCUACCUAUAAGCAGGUAGGAAGAAAGGGAGCAAUAGCUCUGCUGAGGGAGGGGCCUGCGACCCAUCAGGUAGUUGGUGAGGUAACGGCUCACCAAGCCUACGACGGGUAGCCGGUCUGAGAGGAUGGCCGGCCACAAGGGCACUGAGACACGGGCCCUACUCCUACGGGAGGCAGCAGUGGGGGAUUUUGGACAAUGGGCGAAAGCCUGAUCCAGCGACGCCGCGUGCGGGACGAAGCCCUUCGGGGUGUAAACCGCUGUGGUGGGAGACGAAUAAGGUGAGGAGUGGAAAGCCUCACUGAUGACGGUAUCCCACUAGAAAGCCCCGGCUAACUACGUGCCAGCAGCCGCGGUAAUACGUAGGGGGCGAGCGUUACCCGGAUUUACUGGGCGUAAAGGGGCGUAGGCGGCCGUGAAAGUCCGGUGUGAAAACUCACGGCUCAACCGUGGGACUGCGCUGGAAACUACACGGCUUGAGGACGGUAGAGGGAGACGGAACUGCUGGUGUAGGGGUGAAAUCCGUAGAUAUCAGCAGGAACGCCGGUGGAGAAGUCGGUCUCCUGGGCCGUUCCUGACGCUGAGGCCCGAAAGCUAGGGGAGCAAACCGGAUUAGAUACCCGGGUAGUCCUAGCCGUAAACGAUGCCCACUAGGUGUGGGGGAGUAAUUCCCCCGUGCUGAAGCUAACGCGAUAAGUGGGCCGCCUGGGGAGUAUGCCCGCAAGGGUGAAGCUCAAAGGAAUUGACGGGACCCCGCACAAGCGGUGGAGCGUGUGGUUUAAUUGGACGCUAAGCCAAGAACCUUACCAGGGCUUGACAUGCUGGUGGUACUGACCCGAAAGGGGAGGGACCUGUGGCGUUAGUCACGGGAGCCAGCACAGGUGGUGCACGGUCGUCGUCAGCUCGUGCCGUGAGGUGUUGGGUUAAGUCCCGCAACGAGCGCAACCCCUGCCCUUAGUUGCCAGCGGUUCGGCCGGGCACUCUAAGGGGACUGCCGGCGACGAGCCGGAGGAAGGAGGGGAUGACGUCAGAUACUCGUGCCCCUUAUGCCCUGGGCGACACACGCGCUACAAUGGGUGGGAUAGCGGGAAGCGAGCCAGCGAUGGUGAGCGAAACCCUUAAACCCACCCUCAGUUCGGAUUGCAGGCUGAAACCCGC
rnacentral:rRNA from 1 species